ensembl:lncRNA
CAUCAGGGGAUGUAUGUUAUAGCUUCCAGAAAGAGGAACAGCAGAGUCGGAUCAAUGUAAUGCUGUACCUCAUCUGACUGGGGGGAAUAAAUAGGAAGUAAGAAAAGAGGGGGGAGCUGAGGACUUACAAAGGUUUCAGUAUUACAGGGUCUCCUGACUUGGUACCUUGGUCUUGUACCUGGAAAUGAUCUCGGUGGAGCCAAAGAAUCCACCGGCACAAAGGAGGUUGUAGAACUGGAUUUCAGUGGGCACAGUUUGAGCCUCACUGUAACAAAAAUCCACAUGAAUGAUUUACACGUGCGAACUGCCCUCACAAGAGCAGUGGAAAUGCUCAGAGAGUUGGAUUGAACGGUGUCUCAAUGAAAGUGAAAACAAACGCUAUUCCAGUCACACCUCUCUGGGGAACGUUUCUAAUGAUGAAAAGAACUACUCUUUGAUGUCACUGUAGAAUUACAUGCCUUGCAGCACAAAGCUUCAGCUGAUUACAGAAUUUUCUAUGUUGGGAUCUCACAUUUAUUUGCCCAGGAGUCUCUUUUGAAGAGGUAUCUCUUCUGAGGAAGAAAGAAGGUGUUAGGAGCAUGACUCCCAUACUAAGAACAGCAGAACAGAAUCCUCAAAGAUAAUAACAUUUGACAGGUUUGGGUUUUGCAGGUGUUCUGUUUUUAUUUUAAAAAGUAAGAAAUUGGCGAAUUGUACUGAAGAAGUAAAACAUAUGCUUGUUAAUUUGCAUCUUAUGACAACCUUUGUGCACUUUAUUACAUUCAUUUUACCCUAUCUGAUGCUACUAAGAGUGUGACAGAAAUAAUCUGUAAUGACUGAGAUGUGACUUCUCAUUCUUAAUGGAGUCUGAAUGCAGGAUUUGAUUCUAUUGACUUUAGUGGGCUUUUCCUUAGACUCACAGCACCAGAAUAACAAAUUAAUACCACUAGCUAUAUAAUAAACAAAAAAACCCAAACCAACACAAUUCAUUUUAUGAGUUUCCUUCUAUAUUCUUUUUUAGAUUUGUUACUCUAUAUAGGUUCUAGUAAAACUAUUAGCAGUUUGUUAUAUGUGCUUAUAGCUUGAAUGUGUGCACAAGAAAGCUUUCACAUCCCCAGAGUCAGUAGGUGAACCUGUGUGGCUUAGCAGUCGUGAUUAACAGCAAGUAUUUCAGAAAGUAGCACUGAGGAGACAGGAUGGUUGUUCAUUCUGUCUUCUGGUGCUGGAAUUAAGGGGAAAGUAAUGAUAACAAAAGGCAGCAAAUGUAGAAUGUACAUAAAUACAUAACUGAAUUUAUCCCACAUUUUGUGUAGAAUGCUUUGUCGCAGUAUAUAAUGGAAACUCAAAUGAGAAAGAAAGUGUUGAUUUAAUCUAGCUUCCUUUUUAUAGCCAGUUCAUCCAACCGUUUCCAUUACACUAAUACCGGCAUUUUUGCAGUGCAGAUCAGAGAAUUAAUCCACCUGAAAAGCCAUCCUUGUUUUUGUGGGCAAGGAAGAGAGGAGAAAAGGAAGAGGAGGAAAGAAAAAUAAGCCAUUUGCCUAGCAGCAAGAAGACCAAUAAUCUGUGAAAUCUAGAAAAAUUAGAUGUUUCCCCUUAGGAAGCAUCAUAUAAUAUAAUGUGGUCCUUUCUAGUCUUUGGGUUUUCCUAAGAGUGCC